AAUUAGGUUUGGUUAGGUAAUGCAACCACAAGGAGCACAGGCCAGUCCCAAGUCCGGGUAAAUGCAGAGGGUUGUUGGUUAUCCGACGUAAAACAGGAACCAAAUCUAGUGUGGUCAGUUAGAAAUGGUAAAUGACUGCGGUGGUCCAGAAGCGACCACUUCAUAUCAGGAUUUCUAUUUUUAAAUAUGCAACAAAAGUUGUUAAAAGUGAAAUCUAAACAAAAGCUUAAAUCACGUUUAAAAUACGUUUCAGAAGCCAGAGAUGGAGAAUUCCCAUCCGCAGGUUGUUUUCCAAAUGUUUGUCACCGUUAAAAUCUAACUACAGCUUUCACUCUUUUGGUUUUUAACAUAAAAGAGAAGAAGAAAAAAAGUUUGAUCUUUCGGCCCAACAGGAUCGCAGUCCUGGAUCGGCCAUCGCUUCCUCUCCAGGAUCUGUUUACAGCUGCCAUGUUUCAGCCUCAUCGGUGUCAAUAACUCGUUUUUACGCGUCUCUGAGCAAGUUUUUAGGUCAGUCUUCUGUCUUUAUGUUCAAAACACACAGUGAUCGCUUAUUGAUGGUUGAACCAGUUUUUAUGGCUGGUAUGGAUGGCGUCCUUUUUAAUUCACGCAUGUUCCAACUAUUUGAAAAGUGAUCAUGAUGGAGAAAUGAAUAGUUUAUGGCAGACUGGUUUCAUGAUGUCUUCCCUCUGCCUGGCCACGUCCCGCAGCUGAAGGCUUUAUAGCGUUUAAUCCAUUAGUGACAGAAGUAAAACGUAGAAAUGAGAAAACCAGCAAAGAGAAAUGACUUCAGGAGAAAAAGGAAGAAAAGAAUGAAUCCUGUUUGUAAAGAAAUCACCUCCAGAAAAGAGCAAAAAAUAAACCAAAGUAAGGAGAGAAUAAACUAUUUAAUGGUUAAAUAAUGAAAAGUGAAACAGCAAAGACGUUGAAGCUGCUACUGAACCUCCUGACGAUGGAGGUUCACAUCACAUGUCCUAAAUCCCCAAACCUUUCUUUGUACUUCAGUGUCUUUGGGGGAGAACAGAGCUAGUUGGAAGCAGCUGAGCGUUUGGGCCGAGGACUAACCCCCCCCCCACCCCCACCCCCCCGCUCCGGCAGCAUCUCCAUCACGCCGACAGGACCAGACCAUGAAAACGCCGACGGGGUUGGGCUUCUCCUCCCAGCAUCCAUGUGCGGCGGCUCAGUCAGGCCCGCCGCCAGACGGCCCCUCCGUCCAUAACGGACUGCGCCCACAUGAGCAUGGGAACACGGAGAACGCGUUCAUCACGUUAAGCCCCGCCCCGCUCUGCUCUGCACAGCUUCUCCAUUAGCUGACCUCCUUUUUCGUGGCGCUCUGUUCUUCAACGUUUCUGUGCUGCAGAGCAGAUUUAGUUUGGAGCUUCACCAAAACUCAUGUGGACCCAGUUUGCAUCACUGGUUCUAUAAGACGGGAUAAAGUGAAGGGUUUGAGGCACAAUUCUUUUAUUUUUUUUAGGUUGUCUGGGUCUGUAGAGGGAGAGGAGUGGCUGCAUUUUAACAGUUGCGUCUGCAGCUGCGCAUACGGCCUCCUUAAGGGACGCCAUGAGAAUGAAAAGCCCCAUUGUCGUUCAUGUGGGAAGUGGAUCAUGAAGUUUCCAAAAUUAAGGGCACUUAAAUGUUUGGAUUUAGUUGAUCUUAGUAAAGGACUUUUUAUGUUUAAAGUUAAACAAUGUGUACUAAGGUAACACAGCAGUCAGAACUAAUGCAAUAAAGAAUAGUAUUUUUGUUCAGGGGGGUCAACAUGUGGAAUUUAAUGUGACGAUCUGAUCAAAAAUAUCUUCUGGACUGAGAGACUCGGUACAUAAGUGCCUGUUGGACACAAACUACACUCUGGUUGAUUUCCUCCUUUCUAACAGUCGCGCUGCAGCGAGGAGCGUGCACGGAUCACGUGAACUGCACUAACGGGCUCCUUGUUCAGUCUGCAGGAUUGGGAGGGGUUGGAAAACAUGAAAAACCUGUACGACCCGCCUGUGUGUCACCUACUUCAUCGUACGCUACGACCUGUGGCCCUCUUUACGGUUCACCUGUGUGUCCCGUCCAGGGUGGACCAUCUUUACCAGCCCGUCUCCACCCGUUGAGACAAAGUUAUCACCACGGCUUUAAGUACAACAUCAGUUGUUUCUGGGCCUUUUGGAUGACUUUAACUGAAGCAGGUCUGCAUUUUUUUGUCUUCAGUCGUCAAGUUUGUGAACUUUUCCCCGAAACUCUCCAGGCCAAUCGGGUAAAAGAGGACGAACCUCACGGCUGUUUUUGAAAGAACCGCAUAAAGCAACAGAAAAGCGGUCCAUGUCCUCUCUGAAGGGGGUUUGCUGCUGCAGGACAGAACCUUAAGUCCACGUCUGAUCAGCCUGUUGUCCCUUUAAAGCUUUCGGCGCUGCAUAGCUGCAUCUCAUUGCGUCGGUGGACAGGAACGGCUACAGCACAGAUCGGUCAGCCAUGAACCCCUCCAGAUGAUGUAAAGACAAAUGCAGGUGGAUGCAUCAGAAUGGAGCAGAGCGGGGAGGUUUUGGCCCCGCCCAGCGGAUGUUUUGCGUCCCAAAUAUGAUCCUUUUCAUUUUUUUCAUCUGCUCCUGAUUCACAACAAAUAAAGAAAUACUCAGAAA